GACGUAAAUUAACCAACACAUAAAACGCCAGGGUACUACGAGCCUAGCUUAAAACCCAAAGGACUUGACGGUGUUCUGCCCAACUAGAGGAGCCUGUUCUGUAAUCGAUAGCCCACGAUAUACCUAACCAUUUUUUGCUAAUCAGCCUGUAUACCUCCGUCGUAAGUUUACCAUGUGAAUGAGGUAGUGGACACAAUGACUCACCGCCAAAACGUCAGGUCAAGGUGCAGCCUAUGAAAUGGAAGAAAUGAGCUACAAUUUCUAAUAUAGAACAUACGAAUUACUAUAUGAAACAUAGUCAUGAAGGUGGAUUUAGAAGUAAGUAGGGAAUAGAGAGCCCCACUAAACAUGGCCCAAGAACGCGUACAAACCGCCCGUCACCCUCUUCGAUAGCCUUAUCAAGAUACAUAACACACUAUCCGCGACUUAGAAGAGGCAAGUCGUAACAUGGUAAGUAUACUGGAAAGUGUACUUGGACUAA
rnacentral:rRNA from 1 species